AUUAUUAAGAAACAAAUAACUUCAAUAACUUUAUUUAUCUAAAAAUUGUCAUCUUCAAAUGUGUCAAUACCAAUGUAUUCUUAAUAAUUUCUGGUCAGAGCCAAGCCUCUGACCUGCAUAAUGAAUUGAUAUUUACAAGCAGUGUAAUGAUAAACCAAACAAAGAAGAUCUAGAACCCUGGUGAGGGAGGGCCUGAAAUGGAGAAUAUUAUUGCUAGGUAAACAGUUUGUUAUCUGAUAGGAACCUAUCUUGGGAUUUCACAUUUUUUUUUUUGUACUAGAAUAUAAAAUUCUGUUUUUCUAGCUUUUUAAAAACCAUUUUCCUCUGAGUCCAGCCAUAAAUAAAAUGUUGAAUUUCUGAACGUGAGGGGGGACGCUGCCUUUGUUGUAUCAAUACUAGAUGAACUCAUGCAAUGUUAUUCUCUAAGGCACUUGUUCAUUUCAUAAGAGUUCAUGAAUCAAAACAUUGUUCAUAUAAGUCAAUAGAUCAACACAAUGAGCACAAGUGACAGCAGACUUUGAUUCACCUUGAUUUUUGACACAAUUUCUAAAACUCUUUGAUGAGUUCAAUGAAAAUACAAAAGGAAAGAACAUUGAAACAAAAAAAUUUAUGAAAAUGCAAAUUAACAAAUAAGUUUGAAAAAAAAAUUGUUUUCAAUGAGAAUAAGAAAGAAAGAAUGUAGGUAAGUCAAUUGUUCUAAAAGCUAAUUAGUAAUCUUUAAAAAAAAUCAAAUCCUACUUAAUGUUCAAUAUAGUAAACUGUAUUCAAAUGUUUGCCUAUUAACUUAGCUAACCACCCAUAAAACAAAUAGUCAAACAUAGAUAUUUUAGAUCUAGAUCUAUAAAUGACAUCUAAACUAAUUGAAAAUAAAAUGGCCAGCAAUUUUAUUUAAUUCAAUAGUUGAUGAAAUGAUUAUUCUGAAAUUUUCAUACAACGCAUCAUAAAUGAAUGUGUGAAAUUUCAACUUAAGAUAAUGAAUGGUUGUGGAAACAAAUGAUUCAACUUUCUAAUCAUCCCAUCCCAAUGAUUCACACAUACUAGUGGUAGAUAUUUCAUGAAACCUAAACAUCUUCUUGUUUAUACACUGUAUCAUUGUAAAAAUACAAAUUAACAGAAAGUUAAAACUAUAAUUAAUGUUAUGCUAUUUCAUUAUUUUAAAACAAAACAAAACAAAGAUUAUCACCUAUAACUAAAAAGUACAAAAACAUCAAAAAAAUAUUACAUUUCUUUAAACCUUAGUUGUAUUUCAAAGUAGAUGUGAUUUUGUACAAUUUGAAUUUUCAUCCAAUGUUUCAUUGUAAGACAGUAUAAGUUAGCUCUUCAAUUAUUAAAAAAAAAACCCCAUAAUGAACAGAUUGAUGUAGCAAUUCCUAUUGCUAUGAUAACUUUGGUCCAUGAAAUCUAGGCAAGAAGGGGCAUGAGGGAAUGGGAAUGAACAUUUCUCUCAAACUAAACUUCAAAUAGUAGAAAAAUAGUUUCUUAAGAGCUAAACAUAGAUCUAGAUACAAAACAUGUACAAAAUCUUCAGAGUCUUUAAAAUUAUGAAACAUAAUUUCUAAACAGUUUUGACUGCCUAACUAAAGUAAUCUUGUUUGAUACCCUGGUAAUCUGUAUUAUGCUUUAUACAAAUCUCAAGCUUUUUUGUUUAGUAUCAGAAGAAAAUAGGAGGGAUAUAUAUUUCUUCCCAUGAGUAGGUGUGGAUCCCAUAUAAAAGUGAAAGCUAUUUCAUGAAAUUACAUAAUUAUACACUGAAUUAGACAAUAUUAUUUUAAUAAGUUUAGAUUUCAUAUUAUGUAUAUUCAAUAUUACUUUUUAUACACAAUAUUUUUGUUAUUGAAAGUUUUAAGCUGUAUGGAAAUGAAACAUUGUGAAUUUGUGCGUUUUGUUGAAAGAUGAACAUUCAUGCUUUACAAUUCAG